rnacentral:ncRNA from 16 species
GCGGUGUGGCCUAGAGGAUAAGGCGUCGGUCUUCUAAACCGAAGACAUGGGUUCGAACCCCAUCUCC